rnacentral:rRNA from 1 species
ACACAUGCAAGUCGAGGGGCAACAUGGUAUCAGCUUGCUGAUACCGAUGGCGACCGGCGCACGGGUGAGUAACGCGUAUGUAAUCUACCUGUAACAGAGGGAUAACCCGGAGAAAUCCGGACUAAUACCUCAUAGCACAUAUUAUUCGCAUGAAUUUUAUGUUAAAGAGACUCGGUUACAGAUGAACAUGCGUUCCAUUAGCUAGUUGGCGGGGUUACGGCCCACCAAGGCAACGAUGGAUAGGGGUUCUGAGAGGAAGGUCCCCCACACUGGUACUGAGACACGGACCAGACUCCUACGGGAGGCAGCAGUGAGGAAUAUUGGUCAAUGGGCGAAAGCCUGAACCAGCCAAGUCGCGUGGAGGAAGACGGCCCUACGGGUUGUAAACUCCUUUUACCUGGGAAUAACGGGCGCUACGUGUAGCGCUGUGCAUGUACCGGGAGAAUAAGCAUCGGCUAAUUCCGUGCCAGCAGCCGCGGUAAUACGGAAGAUGCGAGCGUUAUCCGGAUUUAUUGGGUUUAAAGGGUGCGUAGGCGGAAGAAUAAGUCAGCGGUGAAAUGCUUCAGCUCAACUGGAGAAUUGCCGAUGAAACUGUUUUUCUAGAGUAUAAAAGAGGUAUGCGGAAUGCGUGGUGUAGCGGUGAAAUGCAUAGAUAUCACGCAGAACCCCGAUUGCGAAGGCAGCAUACUGGGCUAUAACUGACGCUGAAGCACGAAAGCGUGGGUAUCGAACAGGAUUAGAUACCCUGGUAGUCCACGCCGUAAACGAUGAAUACUAACUGUUUGCGAUAUAAUGUAAGCGGUACAGCGAA